rnacentral:piRNA from 1 species
UGCAUAUUCUGUGCCCUUUUCGCCUC